CGACGUUGGUUUCUAAAUUUUGGGAUGAGAGAUGAUUCCUCUGUCACUUCCCAACUUCCAUCGGAUUUUUCGAUGGAUUUGAGCUGUUGUCGACAUGAGAUGCUUACAAAACUAGUGACCCUUACCCAUAAACUUCCAAAAAAACUGAUAUCCGCCAAAAAAAACCCUAAAGGGCAUAUGUGACGCAAGUCCCUGUGCAUACUUCCAAAACAACUGAUAUCGCUGGAGGUGACGCAUUCUGCGCUUGUACGCAAAA